GACGAACGCUGGCGGCGUGCUUAACACAUGCAAGUCGAACGGAAAGGCCCUGCUUUUGUGGGGUGCUCGAGUGGCGAACGGGUGAGUAACACGUGAGUAACCUGCCCUUGACUUUGGGAUAACUUCAGGAAACUGGGGCUAAUACCGGAUAGGAGCUCCUGCUGCAUGGUGGGGGUUGGAAAGUUUCGGCGGUUGGGGAUGGACUCGCGGCUGAUCGGCUUGUUGGUGGGGUAGUGGCUUACCAAGGCUUUGACGGAUAGCCGGCCUGAGAGGGUGACCGGCCACAUUGGGACUGAGAGACGGCCCAGACUCCUACGGGAGGCAGCAGUGGCGAAUAUUGCACAAUGGGCGGAAGCCUGAUGCAGCAACGCCGCGUGCGGGAUGACGGCCUUCGGGUUGUAAACCGCUUUCGCCUGUGACGAAGCGUGAGUGACGGUAAUGGGUAAAGAAGCACCGGCUAACUACGUG
rnacentral:rRNA from 1 species